UUGAACGCUAGCGGCAGGCCUAACACAUGCAAGUCGAGCGGAUGAAGGGAGCUUGCUCCUGGAUUCAGCGGCGGACGGGUGAGUAAUGCCUAGGAAUCUGCCUGGUAGUGGGGGAUAACGUCCGGAAACGGGCGCUAAUACCGCAUACGUCCUGAGGGAGAAAGUGGGGGAUCUUCGGACCUCACGCUAUCAGAUGAGCCUAGGUCGGAUUAGCUAGUUGGUGGGGUAAAGGCCUACCAAGGCGACGAUCCGUAACUGGUCUGAGAGGAUGAUCAGUCACACUGGAACUGAGACACGGUCCAGACUCCUACGGGAGGCAGCAGUGGGGAAUAUUGGACAAUGGGCGAAAGCCUGAUCCAGCCAUGCCGCGUGUGUGAAGAAGGUCUUCGGAUUGUAAAGCACUUUAAGUUGGGAGGAAGGGCAGUAAGUUAAUACCUUGCUGUUUUGACGUUACCAACAGAAUAAGCACCGGCUAACUUCGUG
rnacentral:rRNA from 1 species